UACGUAGGGUGCGAGCGUUGUCCGGAAUUAUUGGGCGUAAAGAGCUCGUAGGCGGUCUGUCACGUCGGCUGUGAAAACACGGGGCUCAACUCCGUGCCUGCAGUCGAUACGGGCAGACUAGAGUUCGGUAGGGGAGACUGGAAUUCCUGGUGUAGCGGUGAAAUGCGCAGAUAUCAGGAGGAACACCGGUGGCGAAGGCGGGUCUCUGGGCCGAAACUGACGCUGAGGAGCGAAAGCGUGGGGAGCGAACAGG
rnacentral:rRNA from 1 species